rnacentral:rRNA from 1 species
CGGAACACGUACGCAACCUUCCUUUAACUGGAGAAUAGCCCCUCGAAAGAGGGAUUAAUACUCCGUAACAUAUUGAUAAGGCAUCUUAUUAAUAUUAUAGUCUUCGGGCGGUUAAAGAUGGGCGUGCGCCUGAUUAGAUAGUUGGUGAGGUAACGGCUCACCAAGUCUGCGAUCAGUAACUGGUGUGAGAGCACGACCAGUCACACGGGCACUGAGACACGGGCCCG